rnacentral:rRNA from 1 species
GUGUCAGCAGCCGCGGUAAGACAGAGGAGCCAAGCGUUGUCCGGAUUGACUGGGCGUAAAGCGCACGCAGGCGGCCCAAUACGUGGGGUGUGAAAGCUGGCGGCUUAACUGCCAGAUGCCAUCCCAUACGGCUGGGCUCGAGCCCUGCAGAGGUCCAUGGAAUUGCCGGUGUAGUGGUGAAAUGCGUAGAGAUCGGCAGGAACACCCAGGGGGAAACCAGUGGACUGGGCAGGAGCUGACGCUCAGGUGCGAAAGCGUGGGGAGCGAACCGGAUUAGAAACCCCUGUAGUCC